rnacentral:RNase_P_RNA from 1 species
GAAGCUGACCAGACAGUCGCUGCCUGUGCAAGCAGGGAGAGGAAAGUCCGGACUCCAGAGAGCAAGGAUGCCGGUUAACGGCCGGCCGUUGUGAAGCGAGGAAUAGGGCCACAGAGACGAGCGUAUUAAGUUACGGUGAAACGCGGUAACCUCCAUCCGGAGCAAGACCAAAUAGGCAGGCUAUGACGCUGCUCGCUGAGCCUGCGGGUAGGUUGCUUGAGUACACAGGUAACUGGGUACCUAGAGGAAUGACUGUCCACGACAGAAUCCGGCUUAUCGGUCAGCUUCCCCA